CGGGGUAUGGCGCAGUGGUAGCGCGCACCGUUCGGGACGGUGAGGUCGCCCGUUCAAAUCGGGCUACCCCGA
rnacentral:tRNA from 2 species